UACAAGGAUUCCCCUAGUAACGGCGAGUGAAGAGGGAAGAGCCCAAGAUUGAAAGCUGGCGUCUUCGGCGUCCGCAUUGUAAUCUCAAGAAGUGUUUUCCGCUUCGGACCAAGCCUAAGUCCCCUGGAAAGGGGCAUCAUAGAGGGUGAUAAUCCCGUACAUGGCUUGGAGCGCCCGUAGCUUUGUGAUACACUUUCUAAGAGUCGAGUUGUUUGGGAAUGCAGCUCAAAAUGGGUGGUAAAUGCCAUCUAAGGCUAAAUAUUGGGGAGAGACCGAUAGCGAACAAGUACAGUGAUGGAAAGAUGAAAAGAACUUUGAAAAGAGAGUUAAACAGUACGUGAAAUUGCCAAAAGGGAAGGGUAGGAGGUCAGAGAUGCGGCCUGGGAUUCAGCCUUGCUUUUGCUUGGUGUUUUUCCCAGAUUGCAGGCCAACGUCGGUUUUGGGCACUGGAGAAGGGUAGGAGGAAUGUGGCACCCCUCGGGGUGUGUUAUAGCCUCUUACUGGAUACAGCGACCGAGACCGAGGACAGCAGCGUACUCGCAAGAGCGGGCCUUCGGGCACCUUUACGCUUAGGGCGUUGGCAUAAUGGCCCUCUACCACCCGUCUUGAAACACGGACCAAGGAGUCUAACAUGUAUGCGAGUCUUUGGGUGGCAAACCCAUAGGCGCAAUGAAAGUGAAUUCAGGUGGGAUCCGCAAGGUGCACCAUCGACCGAUCCUCACGUCUUUUAAGUCGUGGAUUUGAGUAAGAGCAUACCUGUUGGGACCCGAAAGAUGGUGAACUAUGCCUGAAUAGGGUGAAGCCAGAGGAAACUCUGGUGGAGGCUCGUAGCGGUUCUGACGUGCAAAUCGAUCGUCAAAUUUGGGUAUAGGGGCGAAAGACUAAUCGAACCAUCUAGUAGCUG
rnacentral:rRNA from 1 species